CUCGACAGUCGCUUCACGAAUUCUCACAGCGUACUCAUUGCUUUACUCUUUUAUCCUUUGACACUCUCUUUCUCUUUCUCUCUCAUUAUUCUAUCCUCUUCUCCUCGCACCUUCUUCCGCAACCACUCCUGCACGCACUAGACAAUGCCCCUGGCCGUGCGCAGAGGCGCGAUUUAUCGAACGGAAUUUUUAUUAUGCAACGCGGACUGUUGGCAACAAUGAGUACACAUUCCCCGUAGAAAAGAACGCGAACCGUCGGCCGUCAUCAUUCUGGACCACAAUGAAAAACGCAAGGCCUCCGACAUAUUUUCAGGUGGAAUUCCAAGAGCUGACGAGCUGCCGAUAAUCCACAUUCUGAACAAACAGUAACAGAAAUACAGAUUACAACCUGUGUACCAAUGGAUUUAGUUUAUUUAACUGCCAUCACAGGAAGUUCCUGUCAACUUUUUGGAAUAUCAUCUCAGGAAUGCUGGACCACAUCUUUUUGGGGAAUAUUCGUGGCAGAAUCUUCAGAUGCAAGUUUAUCGGGAAGAGGGGCGAGGUAGGUUGAACAACGCAGCACGAACCUCCGGCUAUAGGAUCUUUGUUUCCUUCGGCGAAUUAGAUCGUUAUUUCAGCGGCCGAGGCAAAACUGCAGCGCCCGACACAUCUGACAAAGAAGUUAUUAGCGUAGAGAAUCGCAUAACGCGAACCGUUUCUUCGGGCCGUUUCAUGGCUGUCUCGUGCGAAUAUGAUGAGUCAGUGAAUGCAGUCCAGCAGGAAGGUCCGACGGAUUCAACCACUGGGCCCGCACACGGUGCCUCAUCCCUGGAAGUUCAGGUCCUCGUGGAUUAUUGUUACCCAGUAACUGGUGUUCCUAGUGCCGGUGUCCCCGCUCGCUGUUGAGGUCGCUGAUGUUGUUGCCCUGGACGUUUUCCAAAAUACUGAUAGGGCCACUGAGUCCUGGGGGCGAGUUUGGAGGAUGGAUGGAUUAUUCGUCGGUUCGGUCGACGUUGUGGGGGAGCAGAAGGUUGCUGGUGGUACAAAAGCGCGAGGCCUCCGAUCGACCAGUCAUCUAGAUCGCUUACCAGGUGAAUUCUAACCUAAUCAAAAUGGACAAGCCGCACGGUCGCAAUCGAGCGCGGGACACUUUGGAAGACGGAGUACAAGUAUCCACUGUCGUAUGGUAUAAAACGAUAAAUUUAUUUGUCAAUGAAAUUUCAAUGAUAAAGAAGAGGACAGGCAGAAGCAAUCGAUUCUAAUGUAAUUAACGCACCGGUGUAAAAUUCGACAUCUUCACGUGGCAACGUAACACAAGGAGCAUCGAUGUUUGAAGAGAGUUCACAAAGUUAAAGGAAAUUAACAUUUUUUUUUUUUCCCCCCAAAAGGGAAGUGACAGUACGGACACGAACCACAUGGAUACUUGGCAUCCUAGAUCAUUUGGAGUCUUCGAUCAGGCACACGCAACCCCCACGAACGGGCGCCGCAUAAUUUCAUAAUAUUUCACAGAACGUACCCCGUAAAGCAUGACGCAAGUCCUGAACCCAGCGGGACGUCCUUUCUUGGCGGAUACUGCCGUGUUAUCCGUGACUCGUUAUGUUCCGAUCGCGCGUAAACAUAACUUUUGCCACGGUCCUGGGACCUUUGAACUCUGCAGGAGUCGGCCGCACAAGUCGGUCCAGGAAGAUGAUGAGGGACGAGUGGACGAGCAUUAAGCAUUAUGAAGACUGGAUAUAAAGUCAUAUUAUAAGGGCUGAGGAUCCUUCCAUCAGGCUGGAGCAACAUUAGCAUCGACAUCGGCAACAGCGACUCCUUUUUUCCUCAAACGAAAAUCUGUCCUUCGGAGUAUAGACGGGUAAACAUAAGACGGGAGCUCUUCUCGUCACUCCGCUAAGUGGAAGAAUCAUCGUACACAAGGAACGCGUUGCCUAGCCCAACGUUCUAAUGGUCAUUAUCAUUUACAAACAGCGACGUCUCCGUUCAUCUUAACACAGGGAUCCUGCCACGUGUUUACAUAGAUGGAGAGCGAUACGAGUUUUUUCUUUCUUUCGAAAUGGAGGUUUGGCAGUUUGAAAAUUCAACCGGGUGACAGGGACCGUUCGAGACUUUUUGCGUGGCACGUAUGCAAGCUGCUUGAAGACUUCCUAAAGCCAUAUCCAUGGACGGUCUUUAAUAGAAGUGUAAACAAGGCAAGCAUGGGCAUAAAGAUAAAGAGUGGUAUAAGAGUUUAACGCCAGUGGAUGCUGUGUAUGUAUACAGACGCAAAUAGUGAGAGCUACCAGAAGACGAAGAAGUGGCUGGGGAAGAAGAAGGCUACUCGAGUAGCAAGUAUCAAGAGGCACCUUCCUGCCUCCAGGAAAUUGAAGGUGGACAGGAGGAGCGUGUGCUAGACGAAAUUCUGUGAAAGGAUCCAAGAGGUGUAUAUAGACACCGGACUGCCUGGAUAUACAGAAGGGCCCCACUUGGUUCCCUUGGAUAACGAGUAUUAUCUUAAGACGUUUGUCAGUCGCAGGACCCAACGGGCCCCACUGGACCCACUGCCAUAUUUGUCCAAUCAAUUUAAGGCUCGUUUGUCGCCAUGGGGGCUAGGAAAAUGCUGGCAAACUUCCUUUCCACAGUUACACGAGACUUUAUUUCAUGGAUUUGAGAUCAGUAUCCGAAUAUGGGAAAUUAUUCAAUCGUCGACGAGAUGCCGAUACUGUCAAUGGCUGACGCGUUACAGACGCGUUUGGAUGUGAAUUUUUCCACUGGCUUUGAUCAUACGCUCGAUUAAGCACUGAAACUACACGAAUUAUCGCGCCCGCUGGCAAAGGACCAGUAGAUGACGAACACAUGGAAACUCGAUUGAACAGCCGAGUUAUUAUGAGGGGCUCCGUUAGCUGGACAAGAUGGUCGGAUGGGAUCUGUGAAUUGAAUGGUGUAGAAGGCAUUGGUCGUUCCCCUCGUCCCCAGUGCCCCAGCAUGUUUGCCAAUGUUAUCCGAGAUGCCAGUGACCGGUCACGAAUCGACGUUAUUCAUCCACCCUCUUCUUUUUUUAUUCCUAUUAUCUUAGUUAAGUGAUAAUUUUGGUAAAUUAAAAAAAAAUUACAGGUUCCACCCUAUCGAUUUUAUCAGCCUCACAGUCCAUCGACGAGAUGCGGGAACAAUUGUUUGGAAUGCUCUGAAAAGGGAUUUCGAGAGGUCGCACAAUAGUCGGGCACAGACUUCUGUAUAGGCAGUGUAAUAUCGAUAGGGAAGGUAUAGCAUAAUGCGUAUUGCGUAUACGCCGUAUAUAUACAAAGACAAUGAAAUGAUUCACGUCUUUCUCGAGUCUACGAAAAUUAAACGCGGCUCGAGUUUUAUAUGUGUGAGCGAGAGUGACUGACUGGAGGGAUUGUUAGGAGGGUGACUGGCUUGGUGUUAGUCCCCCACUUCUAUUCCACGUCAAGACCAAUUCGCAUUACUACGAUUCCUACGCACGUGUUU